rnacentral:misc_RNA from 1 species
UUCAGUCUUCCCAGGCCCACCACUUUCAUCGAGUGAGCAUUCGUCUUCUGGUUACGGGGCCAUAGCUCAGCUGGGAGAGCGCGUGCUUUGCAAGCAUGAGGUCGUCGGUUCGAUCCCGUCUGGCUCCACCAGAUGGUUUGAUCACCAACGGCACAACCGUCGUCCGCGAAACAUCACUUCGCACUCAUUGGUCCGGAUGGACGGUGGCGUGCGUGUUUUCUGACAUCGUAAAGAGGAGAUCGAUCCGAGUUUGGAUCAAGCGAAGCAAUUCGCCUGAGCCAUUCACUAUCUCCGGGAUCAUUUCGGCGCUCGCGCAUCGCAACUCAUCGCAAGAUGAGUGAGAUGAGCGGGUUGUAAAUGAUCUCUGUUAGCGAAGCUUGACCGCCUCGCUAUCGGGCCGAUCUUACGAAGCAAGCUGGUCUUUCUAGUCAAUGUCCGGCUGUGUGAUCGCAUUCAUCGAGGAUGCGCGCCUGAGACUUCGGUCUUUGGGCAGUUGCACAGACAACAUUCUGCCGAGUGUGUGGACAUUGAUAAUGAGAGCAAUCAAGUGCCUUAAGGGUGUUCGGUGGAUGCCUUGGCGCUGAGAGGCGAUGAAGGACGUGCUACGCUGCGAUAA